AGGUAAUAUUGGUCAAUGGACGAAAGCCUGACACCAGCCAAGCCGCGUGCAGGAAGACGGCCCUAUGGGUGGUAAACUGUUUUUAUACGGGGAUAAAGUGACGAGGACCGUGUGCCAUAUUAUUGCUAUCGUACCAGUCAUAGAAUAAGGACCGCGCCUAAUUCCGUG
rnacentral:rRNA from 1 species